AACGAACGCUGGCGGCAUGCCUAACACAUGCAAGUCGAACGAGACCUUCGGGUCUGGUGGCGCACGGGUGCGUAACGCGUGGGAACCUGCCCUUAGGUUCGGAAUAACUCCCCGAAAGGGGUGCUAAUACCGGAUAAUGUCUUCGGACCAAAGAUUUAUCGCCUUUGGAUGGGCUCGCGUUGGAUUAGCUUGUUGUUAGGGUAAAAGCCUAUCAAGGCGACGAUCCGUAGCUGGUUUGAGAGGAUGAGCAGCGACACUGGGACUGAGACACGGUCCAGACUCUUACGGGAGGCAGCAGUGGGGAAUAUUGGACAACGGGCGAAAGCAUGAACCAGCAAGGCCGCGUGAGUGAUGAAGGCCUUAGGGUUGUAAAGCACGUUUACCCGGGAUGAUAAUGACAGUACCGGGAGAAUAAGCACCGGCUAACUCCGUG
rnacentral:rRNA from 1 species